UUUUAGUAAUCACAGAUCCGCCAGUCGAUUCGCUCCGGUGCUCUCUCCCUCAAAACUCAUUUCUAGGGUUUCGCCCAACACCACCAUCGACGACGGAACGAGGAGACGAUCGCUCAUGGACGAGAGCCACAUCACCGCUAAUCACACGCCCUUGCCUCAUCCUGUUUCGAUUCCAGAAGACGGAGAUUUACCUCUCCGAUCUCCAAUACGGCGUGCCGUUUCUGGUUCGAGAUACCGCUCCGGUCUUCGAUUCGAUCGAUAUGAGUGAUGCCGAUUGGGAGUUCAUUGCUGAGGAGCACGAACGAUGCGGUUAGGGUUUCGUAUAAUUUCCUUACAGGAGCUGGAUGCCCAUAACUGGGGAGUUGUCACUACAAAACAUAGAAGAUCGUUGAUUUGGAUUUGAAGUGAUGGAUCCUUCCUGCAAGUUGACUGAAAGCAUGAUCGGUAUGUUGUGAUAAGAAACAGGUGAUCAGGAAUUUGACAAUUGGUUGAAGUAGAGCACAACAUAGCAUAACAUGGUUUACCCUCAAGGCUCAUGUGAGGAUUAAUAAAGGUAAUAAUUAACCAUUAGUUACAGAGAUUUUUACUGCUUUUGGCAUUGGUCUGGGUUAGCGAUUCUUAUCUUCUAUUAUUUAUAUACAAAUAUUCUGGCGCAUUAAAGAAAUAUCAAGGACUUGAACUUUGAUUUGUGGGUAUGUUCGUGAAGUAUAAUGUUCUAAUGAGUGCAUUCCAUUGUCUGUAAUUUCCCUUGUGUCUGUUAAACUGUUAGUAAUGCGUUUAUGAUCAAUCCAGGAAGUUUUUUUUCCCUAUUGAUACUGUUUUAUUUUAGAGGGAAAAGGAUAGUAUUUGCUUGUCUUGUCUUGGUAUUUUAUGCCCCUCGGGUUGCUGUCUUGUUUGUUGCUUUUUAAAUUCGGUGUCUGCUCAAGUGAUUCUGUUACGGUGUUCCAUUUCCAGUGCUGCUGUAUCGUCUCUGUUUCUGAAAUGGGCGUGGACUCUGGGAUGCAUUUUUAACUAUUUUGUAUUAUGAGUAUAGUCCAAAUUGCUUGCACAUUUUAUUUAUUUAUUUAUUAUCUUGUCAACUUUCUUAUCGAAA